AAUUUAUUCCUUCUUUUUUAAAGUAUUCAGGUAGCCAAGAGAAAGUAACUCAGAGUAAGGACUCAGUAACUGAAGACGAUUGGUCCACAACCUUUAAGCAGAUCCUGGAGAAUGGUGAUGAGAUGAAGGACAUGUUGCAAAUCAGCCAGAGAAGUCUGGACAGACCCUCCCAUUUUGAUGACUGUGCACCACAUCUAGAACAGAGGAUGACAAAAUCUCGUUCCCUCUCCAAGAUGAGCAUCUCUUCAGCUGGCAGCUCUAACUAUCACUUCCACCGUGAGCCUUCUUACAGCCUGGAAGACUCAGAGGAUGAUGAUGAAUCUGAGAUGCACCUCAUAUAUAGUCCUGCCCCACAUAGGGAGCACUCACCAGAUGAGGUUCCUCCACAGAUUAUUGAGCUCAACAAGCGUAUGUCAGCAAUCGAGACUCUUCUGAGCCGUUUGGAGCAGAAACUCAUCUUGCCGGUAAUUGGGGGAUCAGCAG
rnacentral:lncRNA from 1 species